rnacentral:rRNA from 1 species
AAAAUCAAGGCUGAGGCGUGAUGACGAGGCACUACGGUGCUGAAGCAACAAAUGCCCUGCUUCCAGGAAAAGCCUCUAAGCAUCAGGUAACAUCAAAUCGUACCCCAAACCGACACAGGUGGUCAGGUAGAGAAUACCAAGGCGCUUGAGAGAACUCGGGUGAAGGAACUAGGCAAAAUGGUGCCGUAACUUCGGGAGAAGGCACGCUGAUAUGUAGGUGAAGUCCCUCGCGGAUGGAGCUGAAAUCAGUCGAAGAUACCAGCUGGCUGCAACUGUUUAUUAAAAACACAGCACUGUGCAAACACGAAAGUGGACGUAUACGGUGUGACGCCUGCCCGGUGCCGGAAGGUUAAUUGAUGGGGUCAGCGCAAGCGAAGCUCUUGAUCGAAGCCCCGGUAAACGGCGGCCGUAACUAUAACGGUCCUAAGGUAGCGAAAUUCCUUGUCGGGUAAGUUCCGACCUGCACGAAUGGCGUAAUGAUGGCCAGGCUGUCUCCACCCGAGACUCAGUGAAAUUGAACUCGCUGUGAAGAUGCAGUGUACCCGCGGCAAGACGGAAAGACCCCGUGAACCUUUACUAUAGCUUGACACUGAACAUUGAGCCUUGAUGUGUAGGAUAGGUGGGAGGCUUAGAAGUGUGGACGCCAGUCUGCAUGGAGCCGACCUUGAAAUACCACCCUUUAAUGUUUGAUGUUCUAACGUUGACCCGUAAUCCGGGUUGCGGACAGUGUCUGGUGGGUAGUUUGACUGGGGCGGUCUCCUCCUAAAGAGUAACGGAGGAGCACGAAGGUUGGCUAAUCCUGGUCGGACAUCAGGAGGUUAGUGCAAUGGCAUAAGCCAGCUUGACUGCGAGCGUGACGGCGCGAGCAGGUGCGAAAGCAGGUCAUAGUGAUCCGGUGGUUCUGAAUGGAAGGGCCAUCGCUCAACGGAUAAAAGGUACUCCGGGGAUAACAGGCUGAUACCGCCCAAGAGUUCAUAUCGACGGCGGUGUUUGGCACCUCGAUGUCGGCUCAUCACAUCCUGGGGCUGAAGUAGGUCCCAAGGGUAUGGCUGUUCGCCAUUUAAAGUGGUACGCGAGCUGGGUUUAGAACGUCGUGAGACAGUUCGGUCCCUAUCUGCCGUGGGCGCUGGAGAACUGAGGGGGGCUGCUCCUAGUACGAGAGGACCGGAGUGGACGCAUCACUGGUGUUCGGGUUGUCAUGCCAAUGGCACUGCCCGGUAGCUAAAUGCGGAAGAGAUAAGUGCUGAAAGCAUCUAAGCACGAAACUUGCC